AGCUCCAAUAGCGUAUAUUAAAGUUGUUGUGGUUAAAAAGCUCGUAGUUGGAUUUCGGCGGGUAUUGGUUGGUUUGAAUUGCUUCAACACUGACUUUUUUACCCGUGUGUUUUGCCAGAAUUUAGCGGGUGAUCUUCGCCGAUUGUCCGUUGGAACUGGUAGGUUUACUUUGAAAAAAUUAGAGUGCUCAAAGCAAGCUUACUGCUUGAAUAGUUGCGCAUGGAAUAAUAGAAUAGGAAGUCGUUUCUAUUUUGUUGGUUUUCGGAAAUCGACUUAAUGAUUAAUAGGGAUAGUCGGGGGCAUUCGUAUUCAAACGACAGAGGUGAAAUUCUUGGACCGUUUGAAGACGAACUAAGGCGAAAGCAUUUGCCAAGAAUGUUUUCAUCA
rnacentral:rRNA from 1 species